AGCGAACGCUGGCGGCAGGCCUAACACAUGCAAGUCGAACGGACCCUUCGGGAUUAGUGGCGGACGGGUGAGUAACACGUGGGAACGUGCCCUUUGGUUCGGAACAACUCAGGGAAACUUGAGCUAAUACCGGAUGUGCCCUUCGGGGGAAAGAUUUAUCGCCACUGGAGCGGCCCGCGUCUGAUUAGCUAGUUGGUGAGGUAAAGGCUCACCAAGGCGACGAUCAGUAGCUGGUCUGAGAGGAUGAUCAGCCACAUUGGGACUGAGACACGGCCCAAACUCCUACGGGAGGCAGCAGUGGGGAAUCUUGCGCAAUGGGCGAAAGCCUGACGCAGCCAUGCCGCGUGAAUGAUGAUGGUCUUAGGAUUGUAAAGUUCUUUCACCGGGGACGAUAAUGACGGUACCCGGAGAAGAAGCCCCGGCUAACUUCGUGCCAGCCGCCGCCGUAA
rnacentral:rRNA from 1 species